rnacentral:rRNA from 1 species
UACGUAGGGGGGCAAGCGUUGUCCGGAUUUAUUGGGCGUAAAGAGCGUGUAGGCGGUUAGGUAGGUCCGUUGUGAAAACUCGAGGCUCAACCUCGAGACGCCGAUGGAAACCAUCUAACUAGAGUCCGGAAGAGGAGAGUGGAAUUCCUGGUGUAGCGGUGAAAUGCGCAGAUAUCAGGAAGAACACCCGUGGCUAAGGCGGCUCUCUAGUACGGUACUGACGCUGAGACGCGAAAGCGUGGGGGAGCGAACAGG